rnacentral:rRNA from 1 species
CUACAGGCUUAACACAUGCAAGUCGAGGGGCAGCAUGGUCUUAGCUUGCUAAGGCCGAUGGCGACCGGCGCACGGGUGAGUAACACGUAUCCAACCUGCCGUCUACUCUUGGACAGCCUUCUGAAAGGAAGAUUAAUACAAGAUGGCAUCAUGAGUCCGCAUGUUCACAUGAUUAAAGGUAUUCCGGUAGACGAUGGGGAUGCGUUCCAUUAGAUAGUAGGCGGGGUAACGGCCCACCUAGUCUUCGAUGGAUAGGGGUUCUGAGAGGAAGGUCCCCCACAUUGGAACUGAGACACGGUCCAAACUCCUACGGGAGGCAGCAGUGAGGAAUAUUGGUCAAUGGGCGAGAGCCUGAACCAGCCAAGUAGCGUGAAGGAUGACUGCCCUAUGGGUUGUAAACUUCUUUUAUAAAGGAAUAAAGUCGGGUAUGCAUACCCGUUUGCAUGUACUUUAUGAAUAAGAAUCGGCUAACUCCGUGCCAGCAGCCGCGGUAAUACGGAGGAUCCGAGCGUUAUCCGGAUUUAUUGGGUUUAAAGGGAGCGUAGAUGGAUGUUUAAGUCAGUUGUGAAAGUUUGCGGCUCAACCGUAAAAUUGCAGUUGAUACUGGAUAUCUUGAGUGCAGUUGAGGCAGGCGGAAUUCGUGGUGUAGCGGUGAAAUGCUUAGAUAUCACGAAGAACUCCGAUUGCGAAGGCAGCCUGCUAAGCUGCAACUGACAUUGAGGCUCGAAAGUGUGGGUAUCAAACAGGAUUAGAUACCCUGGUAGUCCACACGGUAAACGAUGAAUACUCGCUGUUUGCGAUAUACGGCAAGCGGCCAAGCGAAAGCGUUAAGUAUUCCACCUGGGGAGUACGCCGGCAACGGUGAAACUCAAAGGAAUUGACGGGGGCCCGCACAAGCGGAGGAACAUGUGGUUCAAUUCGAUGAUACGCGAGGAACCUUACCCGGGCUUAAAUUGCAGAUGAAUUACGGUGAAAGCCGUAAGCCGCAAGGCAUCUGUGAAGGUGCUGCAUGGUUGUCGUCAGCUCGUGCCGUGAGGUGUCGGCUUAAGUGCCAUAACGAGCGCAACCCUUGUUGUCAGUUACUAACAGGUUCCGCUGAGGACUCUGACAAGACUGCCAUCGUAAGAUGUGAGGAAGGUGGGGAUGACGUCAAAUCAGCACGGCCCUUACGUCCGGGGCUACACACGUGUUACAAUGGGGGGUACAGAGGGCCGCUACCACGCGAGUGGAUGCCAAUCCCCAAAACCUCUCUCAGUUCGGACUGGAGUCUGCAACCCGACUCCACGAAGCUGGAUUCGCUAGUAAUCGCGCAUCAGCCACGGCGCGGUGAAUACGUUCCCGGGCCUUGUACACACCGCCCGUCAAGCCAUGGGAGCCGGGGGUACCUGAAGUGCGUAACCGCGAGGAGCGCCCUAGGGUAAAACUGGUGACUGGGGCUAAAUC